rnacentral:rRNA from 1 species
AGAGUUUGAUCAUGGCUCAGGAUGAACGCUGGCGGUAUGCUUAACACAUGCAAGUCGAACGGACUCUUCGGAGUUAGUGGCGGACGGGUGAGUAACGCGUGAGAAUCUGACUUCAGGUUCGGGACAACAGUUGGAAACGGCUGCUAAUACCGGAUGUGCCUUAUGGUGAAAGAUUUAUCACCUGAAGAUGAGCUCGCGUCUGAUUAGCUAGUAGGUGUGGUAAGAGCGCACCUAGGCGACGAUCAGUAGCUGGUCUGAGAGGAUGAUCAGCCACACUGGGACUGAGACACGGCCCAGACUCCUACGGGAGGCAGCAGUGGGGAAUUUUCCGCAAUGGGCGAAAGCCUGACGGAGCAAUACCGCGUGAGGGAGGAAGGCUCUUGGGUUGUAAACCUCUUUUCUCAGGGAAGAAUGAUGACGGUACCUGAGGAAUAAGCAUCGGCUAACUCCGUGCCAGCAGCCGCGGUAAUACGGAGGAUGCAAGCGUUAUCCGGAAUGAUUGGGCGUAAAGCGUCCGCAGGUGGCAAUGUAAGUCUGCUGUCAAAGCGUCUGGCUCAACCAGAUAAAGGCAGUGGAAACUACAUAGCUAGAGUAAGGUAGGGGUAGAGGGAAUUCCUGGUGUAGCGGUGAAAUGCGUAGAGAUCAGGAAGAACACCGGUGGCGAAAGCGCUCUGCUGGACCUUAACUGACACUGAGGGACGAAAGCUAGGGGAGCGAAUGGGAUUAGAUACCCCAGUAGUCC